rnacentral:lncRNA from 1 species
GCUUGAACCUGGGAGGAGGAGGUUGCGUUGAGCUGAGAUUGCACCACUGCACUCCAGCCUGGGCGUCAAAGUAGGAAGCCUGCUGUGGAGCAGGAGCUGCCGGGCGAGCCUCGCGGAAGCUCCUGGGCGGGGAGGUGGGAUGUGACGGAGGGCGUGGCUCCGCGGAUGGUAGAGCCCCUCCUUUGCGCGCGCGCCCUAGCCCCGCCCUGGCUUGCACGCAUGCGCGUUCGGUGGGUUCCGCGUGCUUUCUCGCCAAAGUGCGGCGGCUGCUUUUCCCAGCUUCAGCUAGGCGGCAACAAGGUUCUCAUAGCACACCGGGCUGGCGCGGAAGGGAGCCAAUGGUCCGGCUUAGACACCUGCCUCUGCUCCUGCCCAACGCCCUGAGACACCAGGUUCUAUACACGGAGUCCAGGGCCGUGUUUUCCGUGUGUGUGUGUGUGUGUGUG